rnacentral:pre_miRNA from 1 species
UGGACAAAUUAUUGUAUUCGACUGUAUUCACGGCGUGAAACAAGGGAUUACACUAUUUUUAAACGGAAAGUGAAUCAAUUAACAUAGUAGACUUAU